rnacentral:lncRNA from 10 species
GAAGAAUUAGGUCACACAUGGGCUUGUAGGAUGAAUGUGGGGUUUUAUUGAGUGGUGGAGGUGGCUCUCAGUGGGAUGGAUGGGGAGCCAGAAGUGGGGAUGGAGUGGGAAGAUGAUCUUCCCCUGGACCCUGGCCAUCCAGCGGCCGAACUCCUCCCUGACCACCUUCAGUCAAACUCCUCUCAGCAUUCAGGCAUUCCUUCUCUUCUCUCUUUCCCUGCUGUAUCGUUCCACCAUUCAUCUGCUUGUCUCCUCGUAUUUUUGUCUGCCCGUCUGCUUCUGGAGCAGGUGGGAUAAACCUUGAACUGGAUUUAACCUCGAACAGAUGAGAUCAUGGGUCAGAGGCGUAAAGUGACUUGUUCAAAGUCACCCAGCAGUGUGACUCCAGUGCCUGAGUGGGAGUGGGUCAUCAUGAUGAUUCAGCCUCUCCAAGGGAACCAAUCUUUCCAAACCGUCUGGUGGAGAACAGAUGGCACAGCACCCAGGAGUCCCCGAGCUGCCCAGCCUCAAAGAUGCUCCAUGUAUGUACAUGGGUGGGAGGCCUUGAGGUGCCAGAGCAGUGGGGUGUGUGACCUUGGAUAAGUCAUGUCUAUCUCUUUGGGUGGUUGGGUUUGAAGCUCUGUAAACCCUCUUCCCAGUCUUGUCACAGAGAGGCUCUCAGAGUCUGUGGUAGCAAAUAUCCCUUUAGGUUGCGGCUCCUGUUUGCAAAGCAUGUUACAGAUGCCUUAAUUAAUUAUUCAGGCUGACAUCUCCACCUCCAAAAUCAGAGGGUUGAGAAAAGAUCAUAGGAAUACAAUGAAUGUGAACUUGGCUGAUAAUGGCUGGUCCCAGGGUGGUGAGAAGAGAAGAAAACCCUCCAAAUUGGUCUUCCCUUACACUUUGGCCCCGCUUCCGCCAACGGCCAAGAUAAAACUGUCCUCCUUCAAUAAUUAAUGAGCAGGAUCCUGCGCUCCUGGCCUGGAUCCCCCGAAGGAGACCCCUUG